UACGUAGGGUGCGAGCGUUACUCGGAAUUACUGGGCGUAAAGUGUGCGCAGGCGGCCGCGCAAGUCGAGUGUGAAAGCCCCGAGCUUAACUUGGGAAUUGCGCUCGAAACUACGUGGCUGGAGUGUGGCAGAGGAAGGUGGAAUUCCAGGUGUAGCGGUGAAAUGCGUAGAGAUCUGGAGGAACACCGAUGGCGAAGGCAGCCUUCUGGGCCAACACUGACGCUGAUGCACGAAAGCGUGGGGAGCAAACAGG
rnacentral:rRNA from 1 species